GUUGAAUUCUGUCCUGAUUUACGCCCCAUAACCUGGCAGCAGCUCAAGACAACCCGACGAGAUAAUCAUCACAUGCUGGCAAUCACUUGCCAUCAAUUAUCCCCACGCUGCUGCUGUCAGUGGAUCACAGCCCCUACCUGGUGGGAGUCACUGCUGGUGCCACCGAGGCAUUUGCCAGUAAUGUAGGACUGGGGAGGAUGGGAAACAGCUUCCAGACAGGCUCUGAGAUUGAUAUGCAAGCCAAAGGGAAAUGCAUUAAACUAUUUAACUGCCUGGAAA